rnacentral:misc_RNA from 1 species
UACGGAGGGUGCAAGCGUUGUUCGGAAUCAUUGGGCGUAAAGCGCGCGCAGGCGGUCUGGAAAGUCUGACGUGAAAUCCCGGGGCUCAACCUCGGAAUUGCGUUGGAACCUAUCAGACUUGAGUAUGGGGGAGGUCCGUGGAAUUCCAGGUGUAGGGGUGAGAUCCGUAGAGAUCUGGAGGAACACCAGUGGCGAAAGCGACGGACUGGACCAAGACUGACGCUGAGGCGCGAAAGCGUGGGGAGCAAACAGG